UACGUAGGCAGCGAGCGUUGUUCGGAGUUACUGGGCGUAAAGGGUGUGUAGGCGGUUGUUUAAGUUUGGUGUGAAAUCUCCCGGCUCAACUGGGAGGAUGCGCCGAAUACUGAAUGACUAGAGUGCGGGAGAGGAAAGUGGAAUUCCUGGUGUAGCGGUGAAAUGCGUAGAUAUCAGGAGGAACACCGGUGGUGUAGACGGCUUUCUGGACCGUAACUGACGCUGAGACACGAAAGCGUGGGUAGCAAACAGG
rnacentral:rRNA from 1 species